AACGAACGCUGGCGGCAGGCUUAACACAUGCAAGUCGAGCGCCCCGCAAGGUAGCGGCCAGACGGGUGAGUAACGCGUGGGAAUCUACCCAUCUUUACGGAACAACUCCGGGAAACUGGAGCUAAUACCGUAUACGUCCUUUUGGAGAAAGAUUUAUCGGAGAUGGAUGAGCCCGCGUUGGAUUAGCUAGUUGGUGGGGUAAUGGCCUACCAAGGCGACGAUCCAUAGCUGGUCUGAGAGGAUGAUCAGCCACACUGGGACUGAGACACGGCCCAGACUCCUACGGGAGGCAGCAGUGGGGAAUAUUGGACAAUGGGCGCAACCUGGAUCCAGCCAUGCCGCGUGAGUAAUGAAGGCCCUAGGGUUGUAAAGCUCUUUCAACGGUGAAGAUAAUGACGGUAACCGUAGAAGAAGCCCCGGCUAACUUCGUGC
rnacentral:rRNA from 1 species